rnacentral:rRNA from 1 species
UGGGAAUUUUGGACAAUGGACGCAAGUCUGAUCCAGCCAUGCCGCGUGCGAGAAGAAGGCCUUCGGGUUGUAAACCGCUUUUGUCAGGGAAGAAACGAGUUUCUCUAAUACAGAGACUUAAUGACGGUACCUGAAGAAUAAGCACCGGCUAACUACGUGCCAGCAGCCGCGGUAAUACGUAGGGUGCAAGCGUUAAUCGGAAUUACUGGGAGUAAAGCGUGCGCAGGCGGUUAUGCAAGACAGAGGUGAAAUCCCCGGGCUCAACCUGGGAACUGCCUUUGUGACUGCAUAGCUAGAGUACGGUAGAGGGGGAUGGAAUUCCGCGUGUAGCAGUGAAAUGCGUAGAUAUGCGGAGGAACACCGAUGGCGAAGGCAAUCCCCUGGACCUGUACUGACGCUCAUGCACGAAAGCGUGGGGAGCAAACA